UACGUAGGGUGCGAGCGUUUAAUCGGAAUUACUGGGCGUAAAGCGUGCGCAGGCGGUUUUGUAAGUCAGAUGUGAAAUCCCUCGGCUUAACCGGGGAACUGCGUCUGAUACUGGAUGGCUUGAGUGUGGGAGAGGGAUGCGGAAUUCCAGGUGUAGCGGUGAAAUGCGUAGAUAUCUGGAGGAACACCGGUGGCGAAGGCGGCAUCCUGGACUACUACUGACGCUGAGGAGCGAAAGCCAGGGGAGCAAACGGG
rnacentral:rRNA from 1 species